UACGUAGGGUCCAAGCGUUAUCCGGAAUCACUGGGCGUAAAGCGUGCGCAGGCGGCUUUGCAAGACAGAUGUGAAAUCCCCGGGCUUAACCUGGGAACUGCAUUUGUGACUGCAUGGCUGGAGUGCGGCAGAGGGGGAUGGAAUUCCGCGUGUAGCAGUGAAAUGCGUAGAUAUGCGGAGGAACACCGAUGGCGAAGGCAAUCCCCUGGGCCUGCACUGACGCUCAUGCACGAAAGCGUGGGGAGCAAACAGG
rnacentral:rRNA from 1 species